ACUAAUCAAUACAGUGUUGGCUAGAACUCUUUCAUAAGCAAAAGUAAAACAAUAAUUUACUCUGAAAUUCUCACUGCAGAGCAUCCUCCCCUGUGAACUCACCUUUAUGUCUACCACAGCACUAGGCUGAACAAAUAUUUAUCAUGGAUUUUUUUCACAAAAUUACUAUAGGGAGAAAACUGAGACACGAGGGGCCCAAUGCUACACUCAAGUGGCAACUCCAAGUCCACGGGCUUCCCUAGGAAACAAGAGUUCUGUGGAAGCUGAAGAAAACGCACGAGUAUGAGCAUCACACACCAUUGACUGAUUCAGGCGGAACAGCUACGGUCACAGGUUUUCUCCUCUUCAGGAGAAAAAGUCUCUGCUCUUCUACCCGAUAAGCCGGUACAGAGGGAGAGGUGGGGGCUGGGCUCCUCCGGGGCUGUGUCCAGUUUCUGGAACAGAAACAGCAUCGGAAGGAUAGAGCAGCUUCUCUGCAGGGGGCCUGGGGGCUGCUAAAAAUCCACAGGAGCAGAGUGUUCAAGAGUCAGGGCCCCUCAAAAGUCAGAGCAGCUGUGGCCUCUUCUACCUGACCAUCAGCACUGUCCAAGAAGACCCAAUAGCUGCAUGUGGCUAUUUCAAUUGAAGCGGAUUAAAACUACAUGAUAUUCAAGAAUCUAGUUCCUCACUGGCAUUCAUGUGCCGCUCAAACUGAAGAGCGACAUGCGGUUAGUCGCUUCCAUACUGGAGAGCAUCCAGAACACGGCCAUCAUCACUAAACCCUAUACUAGACUGUACUGCAUUCCAGAACCGAAUAUUCAGGCUCUGAACUCCCCUGGGGGCAAAAACUGUCCUUCACCUCUAGAAAUGCUGUUCCUAGCAGACUGCCAGGCACAGCGAUGCAUAAUACCUGUCCUCCCACGCGACGAACGGAAGGAAGGAAAGGGGGAAUCGCACGCCGAGACAUCAAACAGGAAGUGAGGAGCCCAAAUCUCUAUCCAUCUUUAUGCUCUCCUUUAAUGAAGCACAAGAUAAAGGGCCCAGCCCCAAUGAAAUUAAACAGACAUUUGUAGAA